rnacentral:rRNA from 1 species
ACUAGCAGCCAUAAGCAAUCUGAAGCUAAGCAGGUUUGGGUCUGGCCAGUACUUGGAUGGGAGACCAACUACGACAACUGGGUUGUUGCUGGAA